rnacentral:rRNA from 1 species
GAUGAACGCUGGCGGCGUGCCUAAUACAUGCAAGUCGAGCGAACGGACGAGAAGCUUGCUUCUCUGAUGUUAGCGGCGGACGGGUGAGUAACACGUGGAUAACCUACCUAUAAGACUGGGAUAACUUCGGGAAACCGGAGCUAAUACCGGAUGAUAUUUUGAACCGCAUGGUUCAAAAGUGAAAGACGGCCUUGCUGUCACUUAUAGAUGGAUCCGCGCUGCAUUAGCUAGUUGGUAAGGUAACGGCUUACCAAGGCAACGAUGCAUAGCCGACCUGAGAGGGUGAUCGGCCACACUGGAACUGAGACACGGUCCAGACUCCUACGGGAGGCAGCAGUAGGGAAUCUUCCGCAAAGGGCGAAAGCCUGACGGAGCAACGCCGCGUGAGUGAUGAAGGUCUUCGGAUCGUAAAACUCUGUUAUUAGGGAAGAACAUAUGUGUAAGUAACUGUGCACAUCUUGACGGUACCUAAACAGAAAGCCACGGCUAACUACGUG